ACAAAUAGCUCCGUUAGCAGAGCACGAGAUUCUCAGUCUCAGGGUUGUGGGUUCGAGCCCCACGUUGGGUU